rnacentral:rRNA from 1 species
GCCCAGCUUGCUGGGCGGAUCAGUGGCGAACGGGUGAGUAACACGUGAGCAACCUGCCCUCCACUUCGGGAUAAGCCCUGGAAACGGGGUCUAAUACCGGAUAUGAGCCCUCACUGCAUGGUGGGGGUUGGAAAGUUUUUCGGUGGGGGAUGGGCUCGCGGCCUAUCAGCUUGUUGGUGGGGUGAUGGCCUACCAAGGCGUCGACGGGUAGCCGGCCUGAGAGGGCGACCGGCCACACUGGGACUGAGACACGGCCCAGACUCCUACGGGAGGCAGCAGUGGGGAAUAUUGCACAAUGGGCGCAAGCCUGAUGCAGCGACGCCGCGUGAGGGAUGACGGCCUUCGGGUUGUAAACCUCUUUCAGCAGGGAAGAAGCGCAAGUGACGGUACCUGCAGAAGAAGCGCCGGCUAACUACGUGCCAGCAGCCGCGGUAAUACGUAGGGCGCAAGCGUUGUCCGGAAUUAUUGGGCGUAAAGAGCUCGUAGGCGGUCUGUCGCGUCUGGUGUGAAAACCCGAGGCUCAACCUCGGGCUUGCAUCGGGUACGGGCGGACUAGAGUGCUGUAGGGGAGACUGGAAUUCCUGGUGUAGCGGUGGAAUGCGCAGAUAUCAGGAGGAACACCGAUGGCGAAGGCAGGUCUCUGGGCAGUUACUGACGCUGAGGAGCGAAAGCAUGGGGAGCGAACAGGAUUAGAUACCCUGGUAGUCCAUGCCGUAAACGUUGGGCACUAGGUGUGGGGACCAUUCC